AUGUUAGUAGUUGCCGCAUCUUAUGAAAUCUGGCAAAUGAUUGUCAAAACUCCAUUCCUUAAUGGAUUUCUUAAAGAAGAGUUGUAUAUGAUGCAACCAGAAGGUUUUGUCGAUCCUAAAGGUGCUAACAAAGUGAGCAAGCUCCAACGAUCCAUCUAUGGACUGAAGCAAGCAUCUCGCAGUUGGAAUAUAUUCUUUGAUAAAGUGAUCAAAGCAUAUGGUUUUAUACAGACUUGCGGUGAAGCCUAUAUUUACAAGAAAGUGAGUGGGAGCACUACAGCUUUUCUGAUAAGUAUAUGUGAAUGA
rnacentral:rRNA from 1 species